AUGGCAGACUUCUCCUCAACCCACCACCACUCUCUCCUCAAGAUGCCCGCAGUCUUCACCACCAAUGACGCCUCCACCCCGAACAUCUCGAGCUUCUUGCUUUACAACCAAACCAGCCAUGGCCAGCCUCCAGCACCAGCAAAUGCAUGUGCGGCCAUGGUGGAGGAUGCCUCGCGGGAGAGCUCCUCUGCAGUUCUCGACAAUGCCUCUCUACAGGCCAGUGCAUCUGUGGACAGGAAGAGGAAAGCCACAGAUGACAGCACCACACUUAGCUCUGCUCACUCCAAGGACUGCAAGGAUGGCAAGAGUAGGAGGAAGAGGGAGAAGAGCAGCACCGAGCAGGACCAGGAGGAGGCGCCCAAGGGAUACAUCCAUGUGAGGGCAAGGAGAGGGCAGGCAACAGAUAGCCACAGCCUUGCAGAGAGGGUGAGGAGGGAGAGGAUCAGUGAGAGGAUGAGGUUGCUGCAAACACUGGUCCCUGGCUGUGACAAGGUCACCGGAAAGGCACUCGUUUUGGAUGAGAUCAUCAAUUAUGUGCAGUCCCUGCAGAACCAAGUUGAGUUCCUGUCCAUGAGGAUUGCUUCCAUGAGCCCAGUGUUGUAUGGAUUUGGGCUGGACAGUGAUGGCCUCCAUGACCAGGCACAAAAGAUUGGAGGCAUGUUCCAGCAGGAAGCCCUUGCAGUGCCUGCCCCAGCUGCAUCUCAAGCCAUGAUGGACACCGCAUCCUACUCGCUGCAAGGCCAGGGGGGCAUCUCUUUCUCUCAGUCCCAGUCUCAGUGGCAGUUACCUGAUGCAAUCAGUGGGAGAGCAAAGACAGGAACUGCUCAAUCAAUUGGUGUUCAGCAACACGUGCUCCUUCCAGUAGGGGAAGAGAAAGAGAUGAAGCAACCCAUAUUGACAAUAGGCGCGGGAAUAAUGCUGCAAGAUAGGUAG
rnacentral:rRNA from 1 species